rnacentral:tRNA from 1 species
GUUUCCGUAGUGUAGCGGUUAUCACGUUCGCCCUCACGCGAAAAGGUCCCCAGUUCGAAACUGGGCGGAAACA